rnacentral:precursor_RNA from 1 species
GUGGUGGCAGAAAGCUCGAGGCGACAACUGCAUAUCAUGCAAGAGGGUUGAGUGAGGAGCUUACCGAUGGCUCUCUUGCAAGUUGUGCAGUUGCUGCCUCAAGCUUCCUGC